GCUCUGUCAGUCAAGUGGAUUCUAGAAGCGGAUUGGUUCCUCGCGAUCAGCCCGUGGCGCUUUUCCUUCUGAUUGGGGCCCUGGCUGCCCCGCCUCCAAACGCUUCCUCUGUCCUUGACCCUCACCUGCUAAAAGGGCAGAGGGGAAGUGAAGCCUAGGCGUGGCCCCACCUGCGUCCUAGUCCGCUCUCACCUCCCUAUCGAGUGAGGCUCAGCUACGCCUCGGCCGCACCUCUGAGCUCUGAGGCCGCCCCUGCCACAAACCGGUGAUUUCCUUACUGCUCAACCCGACUGUCACUUAGUGUCCUUGUGUCACUUGACGCCUCCAAAAACAUUUGACCUGUUGACCAUAUCUUAGUAGUUUUCCUGUGUGCUUUCCUCCCUCGCUGUCUACUCCUCUGUGGCCCUUGACAGUCGCGUCUUGCACCGCCACCCUCAGUCCUUAAGUCACUGAUGGCUCUGGCCAUGUGGUCCCUUCUUCCCACUGUGGCCGGGGCGGUGGGUGUGCAGUUGCUGGGUGCGGCCUCAGUCCUCGCAGGUAGUGCAGAGCUUUUCCAAGGGUUUCUUGGUCUUCCAUCGAUAUCCCUGCACAACCUCCCCGCCCCAGCCGGGUUGUCUGUUUCUAGCUGUGAUGGUGGUUGGGACAUUGUGUUGCAUUGCAUCCCCCUGUAAUUUCCGCUCCCUGGUCUUCCCUGCCAGACUCGCGGCUCGGUUCACGAGUUAUUUCUAAAGGAAGCCUUCCCUUCUCUCCAUUCACCGGCUUCUCCCUCCGAGUUGUCUCUCUGAUGUAGGUUUCCCCGGUUAAAGGAUGCUCAGCUACAUCUGUAAUUCAGAGAAUGUCCACGUGUUGAAUCCAUUAUAUUUACUUCAGUAGCAGAGAUCACACCUGGAAUGUGUCCGUCUUCUACUGAUUGGAUGAGGCCCACCCUCAUGAGGAAGGACAACCUGCUUCUCCCAGUCUGUCUGUCCAAGUGUUAACUUCAUCUGGAAGCUCACUCAACAGAAACACCCACAAUAAUAUCUGACCAAAUGUCUGGGCACCCUAUGGCCCCGUUAAGUUGAUAUAGUAAUUAAUCAUCACAACACUACAAAUCUUAACAAUGUUAAAAAUAUCUGACCUUAGAUGGAAAAGAACAUAUAACCCAAGUUAGAGUGGGGUGCACAGAGAACUGUGUAGGGCUGCCACCCCAGGAGUAAUUCUUCACCUCGCAAGGCAUGCCUCUUAAGCCACUUGUAAAACUCUGUUAUUAAAAUUAUGGAUAUUUUUUCGUCCUUAUCUAAGAACUAUAAAGUCAUCCAUUUUCCCAGGGCUGCGAUAUAAUGUGAGCAGUAGGAUGAACAGGCUUCAGAAUUGGAGAGAUGAGCUCCGUGCUGCUUCAGCACUUGACUUGUGAAAUAUCUGAGGCCAGGAACUUCUGGUCUUUGAUUCUCAUUUUUUCCUUCUGUAAAAUAGGGACAAACUGUACCUGUCAGUCGUUGUACUGUUGAGAAGAGUAAAGAUAAUACAUACUUGAGCAUUUAGUAUAUGCUAGAUAAGUGGAAUUUGGUACUUACUUUCUACCAAAAAUUUAACACAACAGCCAAGGAAAUCCCUUAAUUGACAUUAAUCAGGAGGUUUACAUUCCUCAUGUGGUGGGGAGAAGAGUGAGAGAGGCAGCUUUCUAGUAAUUGCUAAGCUGAAGAGAAGAGUUGAACACAAGUGCUGUCACUGUAAGAGUUUCUCUGAAGUGCCAGAUCAGUGGACAGAAGACAUAACCCUGCUUGAGACUUGAGCCAGCCUCUCCUACUGCCUCCGUGACACCGGAGGGAGAGGCCAAGGAGUGCGUCCACUACAUAAAAGAGUACAUGGGGCAGAGAAGCAGGCAUGGUCUAUAUAAGAGAGACAGACGUGACUUAAUGGUGUGCAGAGUCAAAGCAUCUUCUCAGCCACACAGUGAGACCAAGGUGUAUCUCCUGGUCUGUUUCUCACGUCUAGCAGUGGUCUGGUGCAUCAGUGAUCUAUAACAGCAAUGCAGGGUCUCUGCUCGUCCUGCCUCAGAGAACCACAGAAUUAGUUGGGAGAUGCAGUCCACAUCGCCUAGACACCCCCUGGAACUGCUCUCAAUUCUCCUCCAUUUAAAGGAUGAAUCCCUCACUGUUCUCACUUGAACUGCUGCAGUGCCUCCACUCGGAUCUUGCCUCCUCUGUGCAGUUUUAUUGAAUACCCUCGGGGCUUCAA